rnacentral:rRNA from 1 species
AGCCGCAAUUCGUGCUAAGGUAGCAUAAUAAUUUGUCUUUUAAAUGAGGACUAGAACAAAAGAUUUAACAUUUCAAAAAUUCUUUACAACUUAAUAAUUAAAAUUAUUCUAAAUGUUAAAAAACAUUUAAUUUAAAGAAAGACGACAAGACCCUAUUGAACUUAACUUAAGUUAAACUGGGGCAGUUAAUUAAUUAUUAUUUUAAUAAAAAAACUAAAAUAUUUAUCUUUUAUUAAAAAUAAUUCAGUUACCAUAGGGAUAACAGAGUAAUUAUAUUAUAGAGACCUUAUCUAAAAAAUAGAUUACUACCUCGAUGUUGAAUUAAUAACCUAUUUUAAGCAAAACUAAAAAAAGGAAGUCUGUUCGACUUUUAAAAAAUUACAUGAUUUGAGUUCAGACCGGUAUAAGCCAGGUCGGUUUCUAUCUUCUAAAGAGUUUUUUACAGUACGAAAGGACCUAAUAAUAUAAAUUAUUUAUAAUAUUAGCAGAUAAAUGCAUUAGAAUUAGAAUCUAAACAAACUUAA